UACGGAGGGAGCUAGCGUUAUUCGGAAUUACUGGGCGUAAAGCGCACGUAGGCGGCUUUGUAAGUUAGAGGUGAAAGCCUGGAGCUCAACUCCAGAAUUGCCUUUAAGACUGCAUCGCUUGAAUCCAGGAGAGGUGAGUGGAAUUCCGAGUGUAGAGGUGAAAUUCGUAGAUAUUCGGAAGAACACCAGUGGCGAAGGCGGCUCACUGGACUGGUAUUGACGCUGAGGUGCGAAAGCGUGGGAGCAAACAGG
rnacentral:rRNA from 1 species